ensembl:lncRNA
AAGACGUUAAUAAUGUAUGAUCCCGCUUUGGUUCAUAUUUAAGAAAUGUUUUUGUGUUUUUGUUAAAUUAAUAAAUUUAUUUGAGGUUGAAAAAAAAAAAAAACAGUGCUUUGAUCAUCAGUGCUGUAAGUUAGUUUUGCUGUAGGUAGUUAGCUUCAUCGUGGGGGGUGGACAUAAAGAUGCAAAUCUCUUGCUCUUUCUUAUAGAGAGUGUCUGAUGAGGGUUUCAAACUUGCUGAGCAGUUUUAGGCAAAGUGUUUGGUUUAGGGCAAAUGCCUCAUUUGGUUUGGCUUUUGCAAUUUUUGCAAUAGCAUACAGAGUAUUACAUAAAAUAUAAUAAGGUUUUUUUUUUUUUUUCAGGAGAGAUGAGGCGAUUCUGAGAGAGAGACAAAGAAACUGGCCAAAAGAGACACGCGUCUAGCAGAGAGAAAAAAACGGGUUCCAUGGGGUAGAAGGUGCUGAGAGACGGUGGAAUUCCGGGAGUGUGGAGAUCAAGGAACUGAGAGAACAGGUAUAACCUCCUGGAGAAUGAUAAUCCUGCCAUUUUAAGGACAAGAAGGCCAGCAGAACUAGUGGAGCCAGGGGACUACCACAAGAAAAAGGACUUCUUAAAGAACAGAGUGAUCAUCAGAACUGGACAUCCAGAGAUUUCCAGACCUGCAAGAUUCAGAACUCCAAGCCUAAAAGAUCUAGAACCCCUGAGACCCACCAUGCCAUGGAUGGACCUGAUGGAACUUCACAAACUACAACAACAGCAAUGACUACUUCUUCUAGAAGGACUUUUC